GUGCCUAAUACAUGCAAGUCGAGCGAACGGACGAGAAGCUUGCUUCUCUGAUGUUAGCGGCGGACGGGUGAGUAACACGUGGAUAACCUACCUAUAAGACUGGGAUAACUUCGGGAAACCGGAGCUAAUACCGGAUAAUAUUUUGAACCGCAUGGUUCAAAAGUGAAAGACGGUCUUGCUGUCACUUAUAGAUGGAUCCGCGCUGCAUUAGCUAGUUGGUAAGGUAACGGCUUACCAAGGCAACGAUGCAUAGCCGACCUGAGAGGGUGAUCGGCCACACUGGAACUGAGACACGGUCCAGACUCCUACGGGAGGCAGCAGUAGGGAAUCUUCCGCAAUGGGCGAAAGCCUGACGGAGCAGCGCCGCGUGAGUGAUGAAGGUCUUCGGAUCGUAAAACUCUGUUAUUAGGGAAGAACAUAUGUGUAAGUAACUGUGCACAUCUUGACGGUACCUAAUCAGAAAGCCACGGCUAACUACGUGCCAGCAGCCGCGGUGAUACGUAGGUGGCAAGCGUUAUCCGGAAUUAUUGGGCGUAAAGCGCGCGUAGGCGGUUUUUUAAGUCUGAUGUGAAAGCCCACGGCUCAACCGUGGAGGGUCAUUGGAAACUGGAAAACUUGAGUGCAGAAGAGGAAAGUGGAAUUCCAUGUGUAGCGGUGAAAUGCGCAGAGAUAUGGAGGAACACCAGUGGCGAAGGCGACUUUCUGGUCUGUAACUGACGCUGAUGUGCGAA
rnacentral:rRNA from 1 species